UGGGGAAUAUUGGACAAUGGGCGAAAGCCUGAUCCAGCAAUGCCGCGUGCGUGACGAAGGCCUUCGGGUUGUAAAGCGCUUUUCCCUGUGACGAUGAUGACGGUAACAGGGGAAUAAGCCCCGGCUAACUUCGUGCCAGCAGCCGCGGUAAUACGAAGGGGGCUAGCGUUGUUCGGAAUGACUGGGCGUAAAGGGCGCGUAGGCGGCGCAUCAAGUCGGGCUGUGAAAGCCCCGGGCUCAACCCGGGAAUUGCGCUCGAGACUGGUGUGCUGGAGUGCGGGAGAGGAUGGUGGAAUUCCCAGUGUAGAGGUGAAAUUCGUAGAUAUUGGGAAGAACACCGGUGGCGAAGGCGACCAUCUGGACCGCAACUGACGCUGAGGCGCGAAAGCGUGGGGAGCAAACAGG
rnacentral:rRNA from 1 species